ensembl:lncRNA
GUGAUGUGGAGCCAGCCUCCCUGUGCACACAGCCCACACUGAGGCUGAAGGCCCAUCCUGUGAGGAACAAUGCCAGCAGCCAGCAAACUGCAUUAUGCUGUAUUAUGAGCCGGUAUUUACCAUCUGGCCCAAUCACAGUAACAAGCUGAGCACUUCUGAAUAAAAGACAUUUUUCCUCAAAAUUUAUACUGCCUCCAGUGCCAGUAUUCUCUAUGGACCCUGAGCACAUAAUUAUUUCAUGGGGUAUCCUGCACAUAGAUCCAAGCAGAUGCCGGGACAUCCUGCAGAAGUACCCACUGAGGGUUUAGGCUUUCCAAGGCACACAGCCUUUCCUCUUCUGCUGUAAAGAAUGUACACAAACAAGAAGUAAACACAACUUUUCUGCUCAUCUGAGUCCCUGUAUCUGAGCAUGAAUGAUCUGAGGGAUUAAGAACGUGGGGAGAGGAGCCUGAGUUGAGCUGAAGAGCAUGCAGGUGAGAGGACUUCUACAGUUCAUUGUUGGAUAUGUUAACCAGGAUCAGAGACGUUCCUUUGAAGUUACAAAUGGGAACUGAAGACUGAAGAGCUACAGCUGUUUCAAGUGCUGUCAGCCACAGGAUGGAAACACCUGGGAAAGCACUGUAGAUGCCAGCAGUCACCAUGGCCUGGUGGUGCCCCACAGCUUGGUUGGAUCCCACAGGGGUGCAGGAAGAUGCCGAAAAAGCUCUGACCCAUGCAGGUUGUGCUUACUGCUUAGAGAAACUGGAUAGGCUGGUCACCUCUCAAAAAAACAAACCUUUGGAGGAUGUGCAUGUGGAGGUAGCUUCCGCUGCCCAAAGCAUCCCUGCUCCACCAGCAGCAUCCCAUGUGGUGUGGACUCAACUUUGGAGGGGCUUUCCCAAAAGUGUCAUCUACUUGGAGCCAAGUGGUAGCCCUGCAGCACAGACAAAACCCCUCCGCCAUGCCCUGCCCUGACUGCCCGCAGCCUCCUGAGCCCAUUCAGAGAAUCACAGAAUCACAGAAAGGGACUCUAUGAAGGGCCCUGAAACUGAUCAUUGAACUCCAGCCCCCUGCGGUGGGCAGGGCUGUCACCCACCAGAUCAGGCUGCACAGGGCCACAUCCAGCCUGGCUUUGAGCACCUCCAGUGAUAGGGCAUUCCCUCCUUCCUUUCAGGACAUGACCGGGUCUGGUGACCAAAUCACUUCCCACACAGGGAAGCACUAGUGGAGCUAGAUCCAGCUCUCCUAAUUAUCACACAGAGCCUGUAGACUGUUAACAGCAGCCCACAUUAGCAUGGAGCCAAGUCCUUAGUGUGCUGUGAUAAUAACAGUGUUUAAUAGAAUUAGGGGAAGUAUAUAAUCAGAAUAAGACUGCUGUGUGUACACAAAGGCAAGAUUAAUACACAACCAGUGAGCCGGCGCUAAGUCGAUAAAGUGGAAUUCACUGGGAGCCAGGAUAGCAGACAGGUAAACAUUAAUCUCUGUGUGUGAUGUGGAGUUUAGAGAUCAGAUGUUACUCGAAACCCGUGCAGAUGCAUGGGGUAUUUGGAGGGCACCACAGCCUCUGUUACCUUACACUCCUCAUGUGGAGCAGGAAGAGCUGCAUUCUUUGUGAUUAACCCAGCUUGAACUUUGAAAUGUGACUCCCAAAUAUUUGCGAGAAUACUGCAACUAAGACAAAGGAGUGGGGCUUUAAAGACCCUGUGGUUCUACAGUGUGCAGCUAGCUUCCUGCGGGGCUUAGGGCAAGUCCCUGCACCUCCCGGGACCUCAAUUGCCCAUGAAUUUCCUCCAAAUAGAUUUCCUUUGCACAUCUUAUUUCCAUGGGGAAUUAGUAUGGAAGUUUCAGAAGGGAAACACAAGAAGGCUAAAUGAGAAACUUCAACACCCAAACUAAAACUGUGGGGGAGUUUUUCUUAUUUCAAGGAAGAAGAGCACAGUUGGUCACAAAGCUAGCAAACAUUUCCAGCUUCGAAAGAGGUCUGUGCCUAAAUACCUGGGUACUGCUCUGUUACUGAUCUCAUACCCACACAUACCAGUAUUUCACCACAUUCAAUUGGUUGAUCAGCCACCUGAAGGUGCCAGAAGGCAUCAUCUUUCCAGGGAUCGCUGAUGGAUAGUUGUAAAUUUCUUAGGUCAAGAAAGAAAGUUUUGUAUUCUGGGGGCUUUAAUACAGACAUAUUGCCCAGCUUUGGCUGGCCAUUAAAUUAAUCCCUUUCUUUCCAGAAGCAAUCACAAGGGAUCCCAAAUGAUAAGCUGAGGAGAACCCCAGGGAUUCCAUCACCCCUGGAUGCAGUGUGCCCACAUUUAGAGCAGGAGUAGGGAAGGUCUCAGCUCCUGCAGCCCAGGACACCGUACUUCAAUGAGCCCCAGCCAGCACAACCUACUUAUUUUACCCUUGUGAAAGUGCUUUAACUUCAGAAUAAAAUAUUGUUUUACCCUCUGCCCUGCUGCUCUGUGUAACUCCAGUGUCAGCUUCCAAAACUAUAACAAACCUCCUAAACAAACAGAUUUUAAGCUCUGCUUCCAAACCAGGCUGGGUAAGGAGCAAGCAAGCUGAAUUAGAUGCAGGAGCCGAUUCAUCACCCCUUCCUCUGCCUCCUGGUCCCCCUGCCAUUUUGGGCAUUCCCAGCUGUGUCACCUGCAUGACAAACAGGGCUGAAGGAGUUGUUUUUGCAAGGUGCCAGUGGCCAGUCAGCCUCUUUGCAAGGUGAGGGCGAGCUGCCAGCUGUCUCCUCAAGGAGCACAGCCCUGGAAGCCAGCAGAGCAGGAGGAGAGGGAGGGUAUGGAAACUUCCCAGGGGAGGAUUGUUGCAGAGACUGAACAGGCUCUGCUCUAUCCAAGCACAAGGAAAUGUAUUAAUGUCAGGCCCAAGUGCCCUGCUUUGUCUCAUGACAGCACCUUCGCAAACAUCUCAAACAUUUGUUUUCUUUUGUGCAGCCUCACAUGCCACCACCCAGCACCAACAAAUAGAAGCUCCAUACUUUUUAAGCACAGCCUUAUGAGGAAAUACUGUUACAAUGAGCCGCAGCUCUGUCCUGGCAUGGCGAUAAAAAUGCUGGCAGAGAUGGGAGGCAGAGCAUGUGCAGAGCAGCAGCUGCAAGAGGGGCCUGUGGCAAUUGCAAUGGCUCCCAGGAGCCAAUGGGGAGAAUGGGCCAUACAGAAAAAUCCAGGAGACCUCUUAGGAAGGACUUGCUAUGGGGUUAGUUAAAGCUGUUUUACGACUCUCUGGACUGGGAAAGAAACAAGCAAGUCCUGUUUUUCUGAGGUACAGUGAACUGUGUCACUGCUGUAGCACCAGAAGGAGCUGCCGCCCUGCAAGAAG